rnacentral:rRNA from 1 species
GAUGAACGCUGGCGGCGUGCCUAAUACAUGCAAGUCGAGCGAACAGACGAGGAGCUUGCUCCUCUGACGUCAGCGGCGGACGGGUGAGUAACACGUGGAUAACCUACCUAUAAGACUGGGAUAACUUCGGGAAACCGGAGCUAAUACCGGAUAAUAUAUUGAACCGCAUGGUUCAAUAGUGAAAGACGGUUUUGCUGUCACUUAUAGAUGGAUCCGCGCCGCAUUAGCUAGUUGGUAAGGUAACGGCUUACCAAGGCAACGAUGCGUAGCCGACCUGAGAGGGUGAUCGGCCACACUGGAACUGAGACACGGUCCAGACUCCUACGGGAGGCAGCAGUAGGGAAUCUUCCGCAAUGGGCGAAAGCCUGACGGAGCAACGCCGCGUGAGUGAUGAAGGUCUUCGGAUCGUAAAACUCUGUUAUUAGGGAAGAACAAAUGUGUAAGUAACUAUGCACGUCUUGACGAUACCUAAUCAGAAAGCCACGGCUAACUACGUG